UGUAGCGUAGCGGACAGCGCUUUGGAAUUCUAAUCCAAAGAUCUUGGGUUCGAAUCCCACCUAA